rnacentral:rRNA from 1 species
AACGAACGCUGGCGGCAUGCCUAACACAUGCAAGUCGAACGAGACCUUCGGGUCUAGUGGCGCACGGGUGCGUAACGCAUGGGAAUCUGCCCUUCGGUUCGGAAUAACUCAGGGAAACUUGAGCUAAUACCGGAUAAUGACGUAAGUCCAAAGAUUUAUCGCCGAAGGAUGAGCCCGCGUAGGAUUAGCUUGUUGGUGGGGUAAUGGCCCACCAAGGCGACGAUCCUUAGCUGGUCUGAGAGGAUGAUCAGCCACACUGGGACUGAGACACGGCCCAGACUCCUACGGGAGGCAGCAGUGGGGAAUAUUGGACAAUGGGCGAAAGCCUGAUCCAGCAAUGCCGCGUGAGUGAUGAAGGCCUUAGGGUUGUAAAGCUCUUUUACCCGGGAUGAUAAUGACAGUACCGGGAGAAUAAGCUCUGGCUAACUCCGUGCCAGCAGCCGCGGUAA